GACGAACGCUGGCGGCGUGCUUAACACAUGCAAGUCGAACGGUGAAAGCGGAGCUUGCUCCGCUGGAUCAGUGGCGAACGGGUGAGUAACACGUGGGCAACCUGCCCCUCACUUCGGGAUAACUCCGGGAAACCGGGGCUAAUACCGGAUAUGACCUCCUUGGGCACCCUUGGAGGUGGAAAGUUUUUCGGUGGGGGAUGGGCCCGCGGCCUAUCAGCUUGUUGGUGAGGUAGUGGCUCACCAAGGCGACGACGGGUAGCCGGCCUGAGAGGGCGACCGGCCACACUGGGACUGAGACACGGCCCAGACUCCUACGGGAGGCAGCAGUGGGGAAUAUUGCGCAAUGGGCGAAAGCCUGACGCAGCAACGCCGCGUGCGGGAUGACGGCCUUCGGGUUGUAAACCGCUUUCAGCAGGGAAGAAGCCGCAAGGUGACGGUACCUGCAGAAGAAGCACCGGCUAACUACGUGCCAGCCGCCGCCGUAACAC
rnacentral:rRNA from 1 species